rnacentral:rRNA from 1 species
CCUACGGGUGGCUGCAGUGAGGAAUAUUGGUCAAUGGACGGAAGUCUGAACCAGCCAUGCCGCGUGCAGGAAGACGGCUCUAUGAGUUGUAAACUGCUUUUGUACAAGGGUAAACCUGAAUACGUGUAUUCCGCUGAAAGUACUGUACGAAUAAGGAUCGGCUAACUCCGUGCCAGCAGCCGCGGUAAUACGUAGGUGGCAAGCGUUGUCCGGAAUGAUUGGGCGAAAGGGGUGCGUAGGCGGCAAAAUAAGUCUGAAGUAAAAGGCGUUGGCGCAACCGACGUAAGCUUUGGAAACUGGUAAGCUAGCGUGCAGGAGAGGUUAGUGGAAUUCGAGGUGUAGCGGUAAAAUGCUUAGAUAUAUGGAGGAACCCCAGUGGCGAAGGCGGCUAACUGGCGUGUAACGGACGCUGAGGCACGAAAGCGUGGGGAGCAAAUAGGAUUAGAUACCCUGGUAGUC